AGCAAACUGAACAUCUGCCGCUCUAUGCGACGCCAUCGCCACAACUUCACCUGCCUGAGAGCAUGCCUGAGGUCUCCGUUGUAACCAGGUGUUUCCUCAGCGGGAUCCCGUCAGGCCGCCGUUAAGACACUUAUGGGUGACGAUCAGAGGUCAACCUGAGAGCUCCUGCAGGCUCACCCUGGGUCACCUAACAAAACACGCUCCGCCCCGGGGUAUGCUCAGUGUCAGGUUACAGGCCACAGCUCCUCAGGACUCCCCGGGACCUCCUUCUCGGCGGUUCCUCCGCGGACUCUCUGCGGGAUUCAAACCGUCAACCUG